rnacentral:ncRNA from 1 species
GCGUGACUUCUCUUGACAUUUGCAACUAUUUCAGCAAGUCUGAGCCAUGGAUGGCGAAGACAGGGAGCACACGCCAGGACGGCGUGUUGCGACCGGUUGCGUACGUUGAGUAUCAUUAGCGCAAAUGUUUAGAGAAGCCAGGCA